ACAUGCAAGUCGAACGCUUUUUCUUUCACCGGAGCUUGCUCCAUCGAAAGAAAAAGAGUGGCGAACGGGUGAGUAACACGUGGGUAACCUGCCCAUCAGAAGGGGAUAACACUUGGAAACAGGUGCUAAUACCGUAUAACACUAUUUUCCGCAUGGAAGAAAGUUGAAAGGCGCUUUUGCGUCACUGAUGGAUGGACCCGCGGUGCAUUAGCUAGUUGGUGAGGUAACGGCUCACCAAGGCCACGAUGCAUAGCCGACCUGAGAGGGUGAUCGGCCACACUGGGACUGAGACACGGCCCAGACUCCUACGGGAGGCAGCAGUAGGGAAUCUUCGGCAAUGGACGAAAGUCUGACCGAGCAACGCCGCGUGAGUGAAGAAGGUUUUCGGAUCGUAAAACUCUGUUGUUAGAGAAGAACAAGGAUGAGAGUAGAACGUUCAUCCCUUGACGGUAUCUAACCAGAAAGCCACGGCUAACUACGUGCCAGCAGCCGCGGUAAUACGUAGGUGGCAAGCGUUGUCCGGAUUUAUUGGGCGUAAAGCGAGCGCAGGCGGUUUCUUAAGUCUGAUGUGAAAGCCCCCGGCUCAACCGGGGAGGGUCAUUGGAAACUGGGAGACUUGAGUGCAGAAGAGGAGAGUGGAAUUCCAUGUGUAGCGGUGAAAUGCGUAGAUAUAUGGAGGAACACCAGUGGCGAAGGCGGCUCUCUGGUCUGUAACUGACGCUGAGGCUCGAAAGCGUGGGGAGCGAACAGGAUUAGAUACCCUGGUAGUCCACGCCGUAAACGAUGAGUGCUAAGUGUUGGAGGGUUUCCGCCCUUCAGUGCUGCAGCAAACGCAUUAAGCACUCCGCCUGGGGAGUACGACCGCAAGGUUGAAACUCAAAGGAAUUGACGGGGGCCCGCACAAGCGGUGGAGCAUGUGGUUUAAUUCGAAGCAACGCGAAGAACCUUACCAGGUCUUGACAUCCUUUGACCACUCUAGAGAUAGAGCUUCCCCUUCGGGGGCAAAGUGACAGGUGGUGCAUGGUUGUCGUCAGCUCGUGUCGUGAGAUGUUGGGUUAAGUCCCGCAACGAGCGCAACCCUUAUUGUUAGUUGCCAUCAUUUA
rnacentral:rRNA from 1 species